AUCAUAGAGUCAUAGAACCAGAGAAUCAUAGACAGUCUAGAGCUGGAAGGUACCUUAAAUAUGUUCUAGCUCCAACCAAUCUAUCAUGGAUGAGCAUGCUCCCUCAGCCUCUCCUCAUAGGAGAGAUGUUGCAGUCCCUAGUGAUAUCAGUCUUACUCCAAAGUUAUGCUGAUCUUUCUGGGUAUAGACAAGGCCUCUGGAGGCACCAUAGUGAGUGGGACUGGCACUGACGCAAGCAUGAUGAGUCCAAGGUACCAAGGAGCAAUAAUUCAGAAAUUCUUGGUUUCUGCCUAUAGAAAGAUAAGAAGACAUCCAGUUUAUUAUUGGAAAGUUCCCCUCCUUUUUGAGUCUCAAGAAGUUGGAAACAAUUCCUCCAUGGCCCAUUUUUGUGCUACAUAAAAAAAUGAAUCCUGGUUCUUUUUCCCUUUUAAAAUUAACAUACUGCAAACAAUUACCACACUGCUCACAAGUCAGCAAUGUCAUGCAAAUAACCUAAGAGAACUGCUAUUCAAGACCUCACGAUAAAGGGCAAUGAACAUCUGCCUCCAAGAGUGGUUUUCAGGUUUUUUUUAGUUCCUUCAGCUAUCUUCAUGCUU